rnacentral:rRNA from 1 species
GACGACGCUGGCGGCGUGGAUUAGGCAUGCAAGUCGAACGGUAGGAUCCUUUCGGGGAUCUGAGAGUGGACGAACGGGUGAGUAACACGUAGGUGAUCUACCCUCAAGACGGGGACAACCCAGGGAAACUUGGGGCUAAUACCGGAUGUGAGCUAUCGCGAGAUAGUUUGAAAGGUGGCUUCGGCUGCCGCUUGAGGAUGAGCCUGCGUCCUAUUAGCUAGUUGGUGAGGUAACGGCUCACCGAGGCAGUGAUAGGUAGGCGGCCUUAACGGGUGGUCGCCCACACUGGGAUUGAGAUACGGCCCAGACUCCUACGGGAGGCAGCAGUCGAGAAUAGUCUACAAUGGUCGAAAGACUGAUAGUGCGACGCCGCGUGAACGAAGAAGCCCUUCGGGGUGUAAAGUUCUUUUAUAUGUGAGCAGUGACACCCAUAUUAAUAGUAUGGGUGUAGAGAUAUUAGCAUAUGAAUAAGCAACGGCUAACUCCGUG